rnacentral:lncRNA from 1 species
CUAGAGCAAGGCUUUUAAACUUUGGGGUCAGGACGACAGGGAUUCUUUCUAUUCUUUCUAGACAUAGGUGUGUUUGAAACUUUGCAGUCAGGGAGGAGGCUCUCCGAGGUGUGGGUUCCAAGUGAACAUAACCACCAGCUGGAGGCUGGGGACCAGGAUCUCCAACCAGCAGCUGACCUUUCUGCCCUUGGCGCCCUUUUGCUCCCCUUGGCUGUCCUUACAGGCCUAUGGGAUUUCAGGCCUCCCCUCCACGCCCAGUUGGAAGCACCGAUGGCAGAAUAUUAACUACCAGUUCCAGAGCAAGAGGAAGAGACACCUGGUUUUCCUGCGCCCGUGAGAGCCGGGAUUUGGGGACACAGGCUUCAGGCUUUUUGCAUGAUGAUCCCGAAGCAGACUUGCACCAUGCCAAGGAUGAGCUGGAAGGAGUGCUGAACAAUUCAGUGCCCCCUGUCUUCAGAUUAUCUGCCUUAUCUCCCUCUUGGGGUCUCUGAGAUCCUGCCCUUCACACUCCAAAUAAAUGAGCUUCUGCCUCUCUGGGCCUCUCUCUGCUUUAUUGAGGGGAUAUUCUGUGUACCGAGGGACACACUGAGUUGACUGAACCCAUGGGCUGGGGAGUGUCCACCAUCAUGCCUUGAUGCUGCCCCCACACCCAUCGACCCAUGAAUCCCCACUGCUGUGCCAUAGAAAGAAAGGCAGAGACAUGCAGAG